rnacentral:rRNA from 1 species
AGAGUUUGAUCCUGGCUCAGGACGAACGCUGGCGGCGUGCCUAAUACAUGCAAGUCGAACGCUUCUUUUUCCACCGGAGCUUGCUCCACCGGAAAAAGAAGAGUGGCGAACGGGUGAGUAACACGUGGGUAACCUGCCCAUCAGAAGGGGAUAACACUUGGAAACAGGUGCUAAUACCGUAUAACAAUCGAAACCGCAUGGUUUUGAUUUGAAAGGCGCUUUCGGGUGUCGCUGAUGGAUGGACCCGCGGUGCAUUAGCUAGUUGGUGAGGUAACGGCUCACCAAGGCCACGAUGCAUAGCCGACCUGAGAGGGUGAUCGGCCACAUUGGGACUGAGACACGGCCCAAACUCCUACGGGAGGCAGCAGUAGGGAAUCUUCGGCAAUGGACGAAAGUCUGACCGAGCAACGCCGCGUGAGUGAAGAAGGUUUUCGGAUCGUAAAACUCUGUUGUUAGAGAAGAACAAGGAUGAGAGUAACUGUUCAUCCCUUGACGGUAUCUAACCAGAAAGCCACGGCUAACUACGUGCCAGCAGCCGCGGUAAUACGUAGGUGGCAAGCGUUGUCCGGAUUUAUUGGGCGUAAAGCGAGCGCAGGCGGUUUCUUAAGUCUGAUGUGAAAGCCCCCGGCUCAACCGGGGAGGGUCAUUGGAAACUGAGAGACUUGAGUGCAGAAGAGGAGAGUGGAAUUCCAUGUGUAGCGGUGAAAUGCGUAGAUAUAUGGAGGAACACCAGUGGCGAAGGCGGCUCUCUGGUCUGUAACUGACGCUGAGGCUCGAAAGCGUGGGGAGCAAACAGGAUUAGAUACCCUGGUAGUCCACGCCGUAAACGAUGAGUGCUAAGUGUUGGAGGGUUUCCGCCCUUCAGUGCUGCAGCUAACGCAUUAAGCACUCCGCCUGGGGAGUACGACCGCAAGGUUGAAACUCAAAGGAAUUGACGGGGGCCCGCACAAGCGGUGGAGCAUGUGGUUUAAUUCGAAGCAACGCGAAGAACCUUACCAGGUCUUGACAUCCUUUGACCACUCUAGAGAUAGAGCUUCCCCUUCGGGGGCAAAGUGACAGGUGGUGCAUGGUUGUCGUCAGCUCGUGUCGUGAGAUGUUGGGUUAAGUCCCGCAACGAGCGCAACCCUUAUUGUUAGUUGCCAUCAUUCAGUUGGGCACUCUAGCAAGACUGCCGGUGACAAACCGGAGGAAGGUGGGGAUGACGUCAAAUCAUCAUGCCCCUUAUGACCUGGGCUACACACGUGCUACAAUGGGAAGUACAACGAGUCGCGAAGUCGCGAGGCUAAGCUAAUCUCUUAAAGCUUCUCUCAGUUCGGAUUGCAGGCUGCAACUCGCCUGCAUGAAGCCGGAAUCGCUAGUAAUCGCGGAUCAGCACGCCGCGGUGAAUACGUUCCCGGGCCUUGUACACACCGCCCGUCACACCACGAGAGUUUGUAACACCCGAAGUCGGUGAGGUAACCUUUUGGAGCCAGCCGCCUAAGGUGGGAUAGAUGAUUGGGGUGAAGUCGUAACAAGGUAGCCGUAUCGGAAGGUGCGGCUGGAUCACCU